rnacentral:rRNA from 1 species
AACAGGGAUUCCCCUAGUAACGGCGAGUGAAGCGGGAACAGCUCAAAUUUGAAAUCUGGCCCUCGGGUCCGAGUUGUAAUUUGUAGAGGAUGCUUUUGGUGCGGUGCCUUCCGAGUUCCCUGGAACGGGACGCCUUAGAGGGUGAGAGCCCCGUACGGUUGGACGCCUAGCCUCUGUAAAGCUCCUUCGACGAGUCGAGUAGUUUGGGAAUGCUGCUCUAAAUGGGAGGUAUAUUUCUUCUAAAGCUAAAUACUGGCCAGAGACCGAUAGCGCACAAGUAGAGUGAUCGAAAGAUGAAAAGCACUUUGAAAAGAGGGUUAAAUAGCACGUGAAAUUGUUGAAAGGGAAGCGUUUAUCACCAGACUUUUUCUAGGGGGAUCAUCCGGUGUUCUCACCGGUGCACUUCCCCUGGUUGAGGCCAGCAUCGGUUUUCGGAGGGGGAUAAAAGCUUCGGGAAUGUGACUCCCUCGGGAGUGUUAUAGCCCGUUGCAUAAUACCCUUCUGGGGACCGAGGUUCGCGCAUCUGCAAGGAUGCUGGCAUAAUGGUGAUCAACGACCCGUCUUGAAACACGGACCAAGGAGUCGAACAUUUAUGCGAGUGUUUGGGUGUCAAACCCUCACGCGUAAUGAAAGUGAACGGAGGUGAGAGCCCUUACGGGUGCAUCAUCGACCGAUCCUGAUGUCUUCGGAUGGAUUUGAGUAAGAGCAUAACUGUUCGGACCCGAAAGAUGGUGAACUAUGCGUGGAUAGGGUGAAGCCAGGAGAAAUCCUGGUGGAGGCUCGCAGCGGUUCUGACGUGCAAAUCGAUCGUCAAAUCUGCGCAUGGGGGCGAAAGACUAAUCGAACCAUCU